UAUUCAAAACCAAUUUAUAUUUUUCUUGUCAUUGCAUAAUAAUCUCUGUACAUGUACAGAUAUGGUAAAUGGACAGAUAUAUUUUAGCCACUUAAUGACUCAACUUGUAAACAAACAUAUAAAAUGGACGCUUGCAGUGGUUUGGUUGAUUACUGGAUCUGUGCCACAUGAGACUGGCCAAAUAAGCACUGCUGGCUUGAUGCAUACUUGUAGACGGAAUCGAGUCGUGGUGGAGGCUAAUGCGGCAAAUGGGAAUAGGCUACUGGAUUUACUAUUUCAAAGAUCUGGAUGACAAUGGGGUAUUGUCCACUGAAAGUCCAGUUCAUGUGGAGUGUCUGAGGUUUUGUUUUACGAAGUUGCUUCAGAAAGAACUUGAUGAAUUGAGAGAACAGUGGAACUUGCAUCGUGUUAGAACUUCGUCAAGUUUUGCUGGAAAGCCAAACCUGCUUUAUCACCACCCAGAACGUUUUGGUUAGUUGUUCAGUUCCUUCGUUCCUACAUGAACAGAAUGAAACAUAAAGAAGCAGUACUGUACAUACUUAAUUAUAAUUUAAUUUAGCAGA